GAUGAAGAACGUAGCGAAAUGCGAUACGUAAUGUGAAUUGCAAAUUCAGUUAAUCAUCGAGUCUUUGAACGCACAUUGCGCCCCCUGGUAUUCCGGGGGACAUGCCUGUCCGAGCGUCAUUGCUGCCCUCAAGCACGGCUUGUGUGUUGGGCCCCGUCCUCCGAUCCCGGGGGACGGGCCCGAAAGGCAGCGGCGGCACCGCGUCCGGUCCUCGAGCGUAUGGGGCUUUGUCACCCGCUCUGUAGGCCCGGCCGGCGCUUGCCGAUCAACCCAAAUUUUUAUCCAGGUUGACCUCGGAUCAGGUAGGGAUACCCGCUGAACUUAAGCAUAUCAAUAAGCGGAGGA
rnacentral:misc_RNA from 1 species